rnacentral:tRNA from 3 species
AAAAAGAUAAGCUAAAUAAGCUAACGGGUUCAUACCCCGUACAUAAAGGUCCGACCCCUUUUCUUUUUA